UACGGAGGGUGCGAGCGUUGGCCGGAAUUAUUGGGCGUAAAGAGCUCGUAGGCGGCUUGUCGCGUCGGUUGUGAAAAUCCGGGGCUCAACCCCGGACUUGCGGUGGGUACGGGCAGACUAGAGUGUGGUAGGGGAGACUGGAAUUCCUGGUGUAGCGGUGAAAUGCGCAGAUAUCAGGAGGAACACCGAUGGCGAAGGCAGGUCUCUGGGCCACUACUGACGCUGAGAAGCGAAAGCGUGGGGAGCGAACAGG
rnacentral:rRNA from 1 species